GCCGGGUGCGGAUAGGUGGAGAACACCGAGGCCAGCUCCAGGCUGGCCUGGCUGCCACGCACCAUGGCGUGGCUUUGUUCGAAAUCGAAGAACAGGUU
rnacentral:tRNA from 1 species